CCUGAGGCCUAUCCCGACCUAGCUUAGCUGUAGGCCUGUGUCGUUGGAAAUGCCUCAAAGAACAAAACUGUAGUUUCGCUUUACCCACACUGUUCUUUACCAUGAACCCCGUGGGAUAUCACUGCAGAACAUUA